rnacentral:rRNA from 1 species
AGCGAACGCUGGCGGCAUGCCUAACACAUGCAAGUCGAACGAGACCUUCGGGUCUAGUUGCGCACGGGUGAGUAACGCGUGGGAACCUGCCCUUAGGUUCGGAAUAACUCCCCGAAAGGGGUGCUAAUACCGGAUAAUCUCUUCGGACCAAAGAUUUAUCGCCUUUGGAUGGGCCCGCGUUGGAUUAGCUAGUUGGUAGGGUAAAAGCCUACCAAGGCGACGAUCCAUAGCUGGUCUGAGAGGAUGAUCAGCCACACUGGGACUGAGACACGGCCCAGACUCCUACGGGAGGCAGCAGUGGGGAAUAUUGGACAAUGGGCGAAAGCCUGAUCAAGCAAUGCCGCGUGAGUGAUGAAGGCCUUAGGGUUGUAAAGCUCUUUUACCCGGGAUGAUAAUGACAGUACCGGGAGAAUAAGCUCCGGCUAACUCCGUG